rnacentral:tRNA from 1 species
ACCUGGGUGGCUCAGUCGGUUGAGCGUCUGACUUCAGCUCAGGUCAUGAUCUCACAGCUCGUGAGUUCAAGCUCCACAUCAGGCU